rnacentral:rRNA from 1 species
CGUGCAGGCGGUUCCGUAAGUCGGACGUGAAAGCUCCCGGCUUAACUGGGAGAGGUCGUUCGAUACUGCGGGACUUGAGGUCGGGAGAGGGACGUGGAAUUCCCGGUGUAGUGGUGGAAUGCGUAGAGAUCGGGAGGAACACCAGUGGCGAAGGCGGCGUCCUGGCCCGCACCUGACGCUAAGACGCGAAAGCGUGGGUAGCGAACG